rnacentral:rRNA from 1 species
GAUGAACGCUGGCGGCGUGCCUAAUACAUGCAAGUCGAGCGAACGGACGAGAAGCUUGCUUCUCUGAUGUUAGCGGCGGACGGGUGAGUAACACGUGGAUAACCUACCUAUAAGACUGGGAUAACUUCGGGAAACCGGAGCUAAUACCGGAUAAUAUUUUGAACCGCAUGGUUCAAAAGUGAAAGACGGUCUUGCUGUCACUUAUAGAUGGAUCCGCGCUGCAUUAGCUAGUUGGUAAGGUAACGGCUUACCAAGGCAACGAUGCAUAGCCGACCUGAGAGGGUGAUCGGCCACACUGGAACUGAGACACGGUCCAGACUCCUACGGGAGGCAGCAGUAGGGAAUCUUCCGCAAUGGGCGAAAGCCUGACGGAGCAACGCCGCGUGAGUGAUGAAGGUCUUCGGAUCGUAAAACUCUGUUAUUAGGGAAGAACAUAUGUGUAAGUAACUGUGCACAUCUUGACGGUACCUAAUCAGAAAGCCACGGCUAACUACGUGCCAGCAGCCGCGGUAAUACGUAGGUGGCAAGCGUUAUCCGGAAUUAUUGGGCGUAAAGCGCGCGUAGGCGGUUUUUUAAGUCUGAUGUGAAAGCCCACGGCUCAACCGUGGAGGGUCAUUGGAAACUGGAAAACUUGAGUGCAGAAGAGGAAAGUGGAAUUCCAUGUGUAGCGGUGAAAUGCGCAGAGAUAUGGAGGAACACCAGUGGCGAAGGCGACUUUCUGGUCUGUAACUGACGCUGAUGUGCGAAAGCGUGGGGAUCAAACAGGAUUAGAUACCCUGGUAGUCCACGCCGUAAACGAUGAGUGCUAAGUGUUAGGGGGUUUCCGCCCCUUAGUGCUGCAGCUAACGCAUUAAGCACUCCGCCUGGGGAGUACGACCGCAAGGUUGAAACUCAAAGGAAUUGACGGGGACCCGCACAAGCGGUGGAGCAUGUGGUUUAAUUCGAAGCAACGCGAAGAACCUUACCAAAUCUUGACAUCCUUUGACAACUCUAGAGAUAGAGCUUUCCCCUUCGGGGGACAAAGUGACAGGUGGUGCAUGGUUGUCGUCAGCUCGUGUCGUGAGAUGUUGGGUUAAGUCCCGCAACGAGCGCAACCCUUAAGCUUAGUUGCCAUCAUUAAGUUGGGCACCCUAAGUUGACUGCCGGUGACAAACCGGAGGAAGGUGGGGAUGACGUCAAAUCAUCAUGCCCCUUAUGAUUUGGGCUACACACGUGCUACAAUGGACAAUACAAAGGGCAGCGAAACCGCGAGGUCAAGCAAAUCCCAUAAAGUUGUUCUCAGUUCGGAUUGUAGUCUGCAACUCGACUACAUGAAGCUGGAAUCGCUAGUAAUCGUAGAUCAGCAUGCUACGGUGAAUACGUUCCCGGGUCU